AACGCGAAGAACCUUACCAGGGUUUGACAUGCUCUCUAUGAGUUCUUGAAAGAGAAUUCUUCAGUUCGGCUGGGAGAUGCACAGGUGCUGCAUGGCUGUCGUCAGCUCGUGUCGUGAGAUGUUGGGUUAAGUCCCGCAACGAGCGCAACCCUCGUCUUCUGUUGCCAGCACGUAAUGGUGGGCACUCUGAAGAAACUGCCGGUGAUAAGCCGGAGGAAGGUGGGGAUGACGUCAAGUCCUCAUGGCCCUUACACCCUGGGCUACACACGUGUUACAAUGGUGGUGACAAUGAGCUGCGAUCCCGCAAGGGCUAGCUAAUCUCAAAAAGCCACCUCAGUUUGGAUUGUACUCUGCAACUCGAGUACAUGAAAUUGGAAUCGCUAGUAAUCGUAGAUCAGCACGCUACGGUGAAUACGUUCCCGGGCCUUGUACACACCGCUAGUC
rnacentral:rRNA from 1 species